GACAGAGGGUGCAAACGUUGCUCGGAAUUACUGGGCGUAAAGCGCACGUAGGCGGCCUUGUAAGUUAGAGGUGAAAGCCCAGGGCUCAACCCUGGAAUUGCCUUUAAGACUGCAUCGCUUGAACACGGGAGAGGUGAGUGGAAUUCCGAGUGUAGAGGUGAAAUUCGUAGAUAUUCGGAAGAACACCAGUGGCGAAGGCGGCUCACUGGACCGUUGUUGACGCUGAGGUGCGAAAGCGUGGGGAGCAAACAGG
rnacentral:rRNA from 1 species